UGGCAUACACAUUUCACGACAAAAUUAAAAUACUCUCUGCAAGGGUAUAAAAAGCCAGAGAUCAAGAAAACUAGUUUAUUAAUGUUUGCAACCGAUGCAUUAUUUCAGAUAUAUUUGUGAGUAUGCCCACAAUGGGGAUGACAACGAUACCCACGCUGAGUUCACUGAGGAUCUGCCAGAAGCUGUAGCUUCGUUCCUGCGUAACAAUAGUCAAGCUGGGCACCGUAAAGUUUGGUAAACUGGAGAGCGCAUUCUGGCUGAGGGCAUAGGGCAACUUCUCACUGUAGCCCAGCCAAAUGUAGGAGACAAUGCCACCGAUGAGCACAAUAAGCGUAUUCCUCGAGGUGGAUAAAUAGCGACAGCAAAUGCGCAAAGCUUUGCUACGUUUCUCACUGCGUGCAACACGCUCAAGCAGCUGAGGAGACAGAUAAACAUAUGUAUUCUCUAUAUAAAAGAUAAUAGAUAUGCAACACUCAUAUUGAAAUGUGCACUCACCUCGAGCAGCAGCAGAAAAAUAAUAGCACACGAACCCAUGAUCAGAUCGCCCAUGUUGGCCUCACUGAUGCGGGAACUCAGGGUGCUCACCGAGCUGAUAAGGCCCGGCACUAAGUACUUGAUGCCCAGCAGUACCUUGAUCUGGGAUUCAAUAACGAGUAUCGCUGUGGCUGAGGAGAAGGCUUUGAUCACUGGCAUCGAAAUAAACUCAAAGACGAAGCCUGCAAUCAAAAUGAGUGUGUGAAUAGUUUGGCUGUAGCAGGCGAUAUUGGUUGCUCAGAGGGAAACUACAUAGAUGUGAUAAUUAUGUGCUAAUUGAAUCGAUUAUCAUCUUAAUUAGUAAAUUAACAAGCCUGGUGUAAUUGAAACAGAUCUUACGAUUCGUAGUGCCAGCGCUAAUGAACCCACCUGCCAAUUGAUCGAGUCAAUUAACAUUUGACAAUGUCUCUCAAUCUGACUGCAUGCCCACUUAUUUGCAUGCUUUUUACUACUGGAACUGCCUCAAAGUGGAUUUGGCACGAGAACCCAAGUAGCUCGUUUCUCUAAUCACCAUAGCACACCCAAGUUCAGGGUGAAUGAAGCCAAUGAAGAUGUUGUAUAUAGUGGACACGAACUCGUGAGAGACCAAACACAUAUUGCACUUAUACUACUUGUAUUUAUUUAUACUUGUACUUAGUAUUUAUAUAUCUAGCUAGAGAUUAAACAGAAAUCUGAGCAAGA